GAUGAAGAACGUAGCGAAAUGCGAUAAGUAAUGUGAAUUGCAGAAUACAGUGAAUCAUCGAAUCUUUGAACGCACCUUGCGCCCCUUGGUUAUUCCAAAGGGCAUGCCUGUUUGAGUAUCAUGAACACCUCAACUCUUGUGGUUUCCCACAAUGAGCUUGGACUGUGGAGGUUUUGUUGGCCCUGUGGUCAGCUCCUCUCAAAUGGAUCAGCUUACCGGUGUUUGGUGGCAUUACGGGUGUGAUAACUAUCUACGCUCGUGGUCGUCUCCAAAUAACCUCCAGUGAUGGAGGUUCGCUGGAGCUUAUAAAUGUCUCUCCCCAGUGAAGACAGCCUUUGAACGUUCGAUCUCAAAUCAGGUAGGACUACCCGCUGAACUUAAGCAUAUCAAUAAGCGGAGGA
rnacentral:misc_RNA from 1 species